GACGAACGCUGGCGGCGUGCUUAACACAUGCAAGUCGAGCGGAAAGGCCCUUCGGGGUACUCGAGCGGCGAACGGGUGAGUAACACGUGAGUAACCUUCCCCAGACUUUGGGAUAACCCUCGGAAACGGGGGCUAAUACCGGAUACGACACAGCUUCGCAUGGGGUCUGUGUGGAAAGUUUUUCGGUUUGGGAUGGGCUCGCGGCCUAUCAGCUUGUUGGUGGGGUGAUGGCCUACCAAGGCGACGACGGGUAGCCGGCCUGAGAGGGCGACCGGCCACACUGGGACUGAGACACGGCCCAGACUCCUACGGGAGGCAGCAGUGGGGAAUAUUGCACAAUGGGCGGAAGCCUGAUGCAGCGACGCCGCGUGAGGGAUGACGGCCUUCGGGUUGUAAACCUCUUUCAGCAGGGACGAAGCGUAAGUGACGGUACCUGCAGAAGAAGCGCCGGCCAACUACGUG
rnacentral:rRNA from 1 species